GUCAUUUUCCCUGAUUGAUUAGUGUCCUAUUUACGUUGCCUGUUUUUCGUCCUUAGUUGUUGUACCGUUAAUACAACUUAAGUCACAUUUGUGGUUGGUUCUGUUAUGACUGUUAUUGCCUUUUGUUUAUGCACUGUGGCUUGAUUUUUAUUUUUUUUAGAGUGCUUUUUCUUGAGGUUUAUUUUUUAACUUUACUAAGUUCCUGAUAGUCCUGGUACCCAUGUGUUUUUACCUGUUCCCCGAGCCUGUUCCUGUAUCUGUCUGCAAAGAAGCCAAGAAGAAAUAAAUGCUUCUGUGCUCCGCUGGGGAUGUCGCUCCCUAACCCUCACCCUAACCCUAACCGUCUUCCUGCAUAGGAGCUGUAUAAAGUCCAUCUUCAAAUGCAAAUUAGAAAAAGUGACAUGGAGAUGGACCUUCUACAACUUCAAAUGGAGGGAAAAAAGGUGAACAUAUGAAAGGCCAGGUUUGAAACUGAACUACUGAAGCACUGGUUAAAGAUGGACAAAAUAUUUGCCUCGUGAUUAUUCUGUCAUUUAAUGCUGAAUGAUAAAGUAAUCUAUUCAAAUUUCUUUUUCAAUUACAGGAGAUAAAUAAACAAUGAACCACACUUGACUGUUCACUUUGUGCAUUAGUCUUUUAAUUAUAAGUGAUUUUGGCAGAUCACAUCAACACCCUGCAAUCUCUCUAGUCCACUGUGUUCACUUGGGGAUUGUCUUGAUCAUGUUCAUAAAGAGGGCCUUGAAAUAUGCUGGUGUUGUGUAGGUGAUCACUGGUGUGUGUGUGUGUGUGUGUGUGAUCACUGGUGUGUGUGUGUGUGUGUGUGUGUGUAGGUGAUCACUGGUGUGUUUAGGUGAUCACUGGUGUGUGUGUGUGUGUGUGUGUCUAGGUGAUCACUGGUGUGUAGGUGAUCAGUGGUGUGUGUGUAGGUGAUCACUGGUGUGUGUGAGUCUAGAUGAUCACUGGUGUGUGUGUGUAGG
ensembl:lncRNA